GACGAACGCUGGCGGCGUGCUUAACACAUGCAAGUCGAGCGGUAAGGCCCUUUCGGGGGUACACGAGCGGCGAACGGGUGAGUAACACGUGGGUGACCUGCCCUCAGCUCUGGGAUAAGCCUGGGAAACUGGGUCUAAUACUGGAUAUGACUCCACGGUGCAUGUCGUGGGGUGGAAAGCCUUGUGCGGCUGAGGAUGGGCCCGCGGCCUAUCAGCUUGUUGGUGGGGGAUGGCCUACCAAGGCGACGACGGGUAGCCGGCCUGAGAGGGCGACCGGCCACACUGGGACUGAGACACGGCCCAGACUCCUACGGGAGGCAGCAGUGGGGAAUCUUGCGCAAUGGGCGAAAGCCUGACGCAGCGACGCCGCGUGAGGGAUGACGGCCUGG
rnacentral:rRNA from 1 species